CUUGCUUUUAGUGAGAGUGGCGCACGGGUGCGUAACGCGUAUGCAACCUACCUUAUACAGGGGGAUAGCCCGGGGAAACUCGGAUUAAUACCCCAUGGUACAUUUGGAUGGCAUCAUUUAAAUGUUAAAGAUUUAUCGGUAUAAGAUGGGCAUGCGUAGGAUUAGCUAGUUGGUAAGGUAACGGCUUACCAAGGCAACGAUCCUUAGGGGUUCUGAGAGGAAGGUCCCCCACACUGGUACUGAGAUACGGACCAGACUCCUACGGGAGGCAGCAGUAGGGAAUAUUGGGCAAUGGUCGGAAGACUGACCCAGCCAUGCCGCGUGCAGGAAGACGGCCUUAUGGGUUGUAAACUGCUUUUAUCAGGGAAGAAAAAGGUCAUGCGUGACAAAUUGCCGGUACCUGAUGAAUAAGCACCGGCUAACUCCGUGCCAGCAGCCGCGGUAAUACGGAGGGUGCAAGCGUUGUCCGGAUUUAUUGGGUUUAAAGGGUGCGUAGGCGGGGAAUUAAGUCAGUGGUGAAAGUCUUGGGCUCAACCCAGGAAUUGCCAUUGAUACUGAUUUUCUUGAGUGUCGAUGGGGUACAUGGAAUUUAUGGUGUAGCGGUGAAAUGCAUAGAUACCAUAAGGAACACCGAUAGCGAAGGCAUUGUACUUAUCGAUAACUGACGCUGAGGCACGAAAGCGUGGGUAGCGAACAGGAUUAGAUACCCUGGUAGUCCACGCCGUAAACGAUGAUUACUCGCUGUUAUGCCUUUAAGGUGUAGUGGCCAAGCGAAAGCGUUAAGUAAUCCACCUGGGGAGUACGCCGGCAACGGUGAAACUCAAAGGAAUUGACGGGGGUCCGCACAAGCGGUGGAGCAUGUGG
rnacentral:rRNA from 1 species